ACGGGCACAUCACGUUGAAACACCGAUUCCCGCAUGAUCACCAAAGUCAAGCAACGUCAAGCCUGGUCAGUACCAAGAUGGGUGACCGCCUGCGAAUACCAGGUACCGUG